rnacentral:rRNA from 1 species
AGAGCGAACGCUGGCGGCAGGCCUAACACAUGCAAGUCGAACGGACUCUUCGGAGUUAGUGGCGGACGGGUGAGUAACACGUGGGAACGUGCCUUUAGGUUCGGAAUAGCUCCUGGAAACGGGUGGUAAUACCGAAUGUGCCCUUCGGGGGAAAGAUUUAUCGCCUUUAGAGCGGCCCGCGUCUGAUUAGCUUGUUGGUGAGGUAAUGGCUCACCAAGGCUACGAUCAGUAGCUGGUCUGAGAGGAUGACCAGCCACAUUGGGACUGAGACACGGCCCAAACUCCUACGGGAGGCAGCAGUGGGGAAUCUUGCGCAAAUGGGCGAAAAGCCUGACGCAGCCAUGCCGCGUGUAUGAUGAAGGUCUUAGGAUUGUAAAAAUACUUUCACCGGUGAAGAUAAUGACUGUAGCCGGAGAAGAAGCCCCCGGCUAAACUUCGUGCCAGCAGCCGCC